GACGAACCGUGCGAACGUUGUUCGGAAUCACUGGGCUUAAAGGGCGCGUAGGCGGUCUACCAAGUCGGCGGUGAAAUCUUUCGGCUUAACCGGAAAAGUGCCUUCGAUACUGGUGGGCUUGAGGGAGGUAGAGGCAGAUGGAACUUCCGGUGGAGCGGUGAAAUGUGUUGAUAUCGGAAGGAACGCCGGUGGCGAAAGCGAUCUGCUGGACCUCUUCUGACGCUGAGGCGCGAAAGCCAGGGGAGCAAACGGG
rnacentral:rRNA from 1 species